UUUGAGUAUCAUGCUUUGUCAUUUUAAUGAAAGUACAGUGACUUCAAGGCAUUUUAUGAAUAACGGGUAUACAUUUUACAGCAGUAAAUUUCUUCAGAAAAUAUUUCUGUAGUUAGGAUUAAGUUAUUUACAAUCAAACAAGUCAUUAUGUGGUAAGGGGCUUAAUAUUCUAAAGAUAGCAUAUUAGACUUGCCAACUUACUGCUCAGCUGUGUUUGUGAACAAGUGAUAUGCCCUUACAUUGUAUACAAUCUGGUAUGUGCAACAAUGUGGAGAUUCCUCAAAUGAUUUAAUAAAAUGCUUGAACACUG
rnacentral:lncRNA from 1 species